rnacentral:rRNA from 1 species
UACGUAGGUGGCAAGCGUUGUCCGGAUUUAUUGGGCGUAAAGGGGGCGCAGGCGGUUCCUUAAGUCUGAUGUGAAAACCCACGGCUCAACCGUGGAAGGUCAUUGGAAACUGGGGAACUUGAGUGCAGAAGAGGAGAGUGGAAUUCCAUGUGUAGCGGUGAAAUGCGUAGAUAUAUGGAGGAACACCGGUGGCGAAAGCGGCUCUCUGGCUUGUAACUGACGCUGAGGCUCGAAAGCGUGGGGAGCAAACAGG